rnacentral:tRNA from 1 species
GCAGUGGUGGUUCGUGGCAGAGUUCUCACCUUCUGCGUGGGAGACCUGGGUUUGAUUCCCGGCCAACGCA